CCCGUUUCUGUUUUACACGCACACGCGUGUCUGUCCCCGCAGCGCUCCGCUCGGGCUGGCUCCGCUGGCAGCAAGGGCAAGCCCAGGCGCCCGCAAGAGUUCUGCACGCAUGCAUCAUGUGAGCCUGCCUCUCUGUUAUGGGGCUGAGCAAGUCGGGGGCAAAUACCUCAAUGGAGCCGCGAGAGAAACCCAGAUGCCCAUGGCGUUUUCCACUGCCUUUCCCCUUAGCCGGGCACGUUUCCUUCCAGCCACGAGCUGGUGCGCAGCAGCAGCAAUUCCCAUGUCUGUCUGUCUGUCGGCUGCUGGCCUGAGCUGCGUGUUACCUACGUCCCCAUCCCUUCCCCCAGCCUCCAGCCAAACAAAGGUGGGCGACGCUUUUUUUCUGCUCCUAAAGGCAGUUGGUGAGCAGCUUUCCUGAAACAAUAACUCUCUUAUUGAGAACAAAUGUUGACAUUCGCAGGGAGCGAGGAAAAAAGCAGCCCAGGAAGUGUAAAGUGGAAAGCGACCCUCUUCCUAUUUGAUGACAGCGCCAAUUCCUUCGGGAUCCCACCUGAGAUUAAAGCCCGAAUUUCAAUAAAUCAGCUCUAAUGAAACCUCUGGCCCCGAAG
rnacentral:lncRNA from 1 species